rnacentral:rRNA from 1 species
UACGAAGGGGGCGAGCGUUGUUCGGAAUUAUUGGGCGUAAAGAGCUCGUAGGCGGUUUGUUGCGUCGGCCGUGAAAACCUGCAGCUUGACUGUGGGCCUGCGGUCGAUACGGGCAGACUUGAGUUCGGUAGGGGAGACUGGAAUUCCUGGUGUAGCGGUGAAAUGCGCAGAUAUCAGGAGGAACACCGGUGGCGAAGGCGGGUCUCUGGGCCGAUACUGACGCUGAGGAGCGAAAGCGUGGGGAGCGAACAGG